rnacentral:misc_RNA from 1 species
UGAGGACCCAGCGGUAGGGGAAGAAGGCGGACUUCUUGACGAAGUAGAUGAGCUCGAGUGGGAUGGAGAAGUAGGCUAGGGCGAUGAAGAAGUCGGAGAUGUACUGGUACUUGACGAGGAGCUCGUCGGCCGGCCAUUGGGGCUCGAUGCAGUCGCAGCCCUCCAUCGGCGAUCUGGCUGCUACAUCUAAUUAGGGUUUCGGCAUCGAAUUGGG